UCCUAGUUAACCUAGGCAGUCUCAUUAGAGUCCCCACCUUAACGUGUUGGCAACUAAUGAUAAGGGUUGCGCUCGUUGCUGGACUUAACCAAACACCUCACGGCACGAGCUGACGACAGCCAUGCAGCACCUAUAUAAAGACCCUUGCGGGAAACUUCAUCUCUGAAGUCGUCCUCUACAUUUCGAGCCUGGGUAAGGUUCUUCGCGUUGCAUCGAAUUAAACCACAUGCUCCACUGCUUGUGCGGGCCCCCGUCAAUUCUUUUGAGUUUCACCCUUGCGAGCGUACUCCCCAGGCGGUAUACUUAUCGCGUUAGCUUCGACACAGCCAGGGUUGAGCCUAGCUACAUCAAGUAUACAUCGUUUACGGCAAGGACUAC
rnacentral:misc_RNA from 1 species